rnacentral:rRNA from 1 species
GGGAGAAAUCGUACAAGUUUCCGUAGGUGACCUGCGGAAGGAUCAUUGU